rnacentral:rRNA from 1 species
AUUGAACGCUGGCGGCAUGCCUUACACAUGCAAGUCGAACGGCAGCACGGGAGCAAUCCUGGUGGCGAGUGGCGGACGGGUGAGUAAUAUAUCGGAACGUGCCCAGUCGUGGGGGAUAACGUAGCGAAAGCUACGCUAAUACCGCAUACGAUCUAUGGAUGAAAGCGGGGGAUCGCAAGACCUCGCGCGAUUGGAGCGGCCGAUAUCAGAUUAGGUAGUUGGUGAGGUAAAGGCUCACCAAGCCGACGAUCUGUAGCUGGUCUGAGAGGACGACCAGCCACACUGGGACUGAGACACGGCCCAGACUCCUACGGGAGGCAGCAGUGGGGAAUUUUGGACAAUGGGCGCAAGCCUGAUCCAGCAAUGCCGCGUGCAGGAUGAAGGCCUUCGGGUUGUAAACUGCUUUUGUACGGAGCGAAAAGGCUCUCUCUAAUACAGGGGGCUCAUGACGGUACCGUAAGAAUAAGCACCGGCUAACUACGUGCCAGCAGCCGCGGUAACAC